UACAGGGGGUGCAAACGUUGCUCGGAAUCAUUGGGCGUAAAGCGCACGUAGGCGGUUCGUUAUGUCGGAUGUGAAAGCCCUUGGCUUAACCGAGGAAGUGCAUCCGAAACUGGCGAGCUAGAGUACUAAAGAGGAUCGCGGAAUUCCCGGUGUAGAGGUGAAAUUCGUAGAUAUCGGGAGGAACACCAGUGGCGAAGGCGGCCUUCUGGACCAGUACUGACGCUCAUGCACGAAAGCGUGGGGAGCAAACAGG
rnacentral:rRNA from 1 species